rnacentral:rRNA from 1 species
UACGUAGGGGGCAAGCGUUGUCCGGAUUUAUUGGGCGUAAAGAGCGUGUAGGCGGCCAGGUAGGUCUGCUGUGAAAACUCGAGGCUUAACCUCGAGCUGUCGGCGGAAACCAUCUGGCUAGAGUCCGGAAGAGGAGAAUGGAAUUCCCGGUGUAGCGGUGAAAUGCGUAGAUAUCAAGAGGAACACCUGAGGUGAAGACGGGUUGCUGGGCCAACACUGACGCUGAUGCGCGAAAGCCAGGGGAGCAAACAGG